rnacentral:lncRNA from 1 species
GCUUGUUAAUAUUAAUACUUACAUCCACAUGCAAAUGAUAAAGACCAUCAUCAAAUAGGCAUGUGCAACAUAUUUAUUUUUCAAAUAAAUUAUGCAUAAGUCUUUAUUAAAAUAGAAAUUAUAAUUAUUCUAUACCAAUAUAGAUACCGAAAUCAAAUUUUACUGGUUACAAGAACAUAAUAAUAAUCUUUUAAAAUUAAAUUAAAUCCUGAUGAUAAUUAUAAAGAGUAGGUUCUGACGGCUAUGGCAGCAACUCUUGCCCCAUUACCGACUCGGAGAGUAAUUUCAUCUUCUCUCAGCUCUCUAACUUCCUUUAGACCCUGC